GUAGACAGACCCUUGGAUCAGUUCAAUCAUGUUGAAGGGUGCCACUCUCCCCAAGGAGUCCCAUUGAAAUCAGCAUGACCACUUGUGCAAUAAGGUGCACCGCCGCAUGAGUAAGGAACGCUAGCGCUCUGCGGACGUGCAGCGUGUGAAGGGAGGCCUCUCUGUUGUCUGCAUGCCAUUUGGGAAAUAAUACAGAACAGUGUGUCUCAAGUCCCGUCAUCCAUGGAUUAGCCAGGCCUUGAAAUGGAGUACUGAGAUGUUGGGGUGACGGAGGCAUCCUGCAUCCUGUGUCAGCAGAUGAGGCACAAGGGGAAGGAUUCGUGGUGAUGUCAACCAGCUGUUUCAGACGUCACAAGAAUUCUAACAAGCAAGUUCACAGACGGCAAAGGAGCAUCACUGAAUUGUACACAUUCACACAGGCUGCUUCCUGAAUGACUGGUGACGUGAGGGUGGAUUCUCUUCAUUCUGCAGAAGGAAUAAUUUGACACACUGCAUGCAAUGAAAUAAGCAACAUGUCAGGGGAAAAAACAAAACUAAACAGUUAUGAA